AUUGCAUUACAUUGAAAGAGCAGCACGUGCACAGGUGAAGCAGAGGAGCAACGCAGUGUUCAAACACUCCAUAAAACCUAACGUUAGGUGCAGAGGAAACCGCCGCACCACCGCUUAAGGCACAGUGAUCAUCACCAACGGACAUCGGUGAAGACGAUUUUCAGCCCAGAAAUGUAUCACUGCAAACAGUGUGCCCAUGAGAGUAAAACUAUAAUAGGUUUUACUCAUCAUAUGAAACUUCACAGUAAUGCACCAAACUGCCCUUUUACCUGUGGUAUACCUGAUUGUACCCGUGCAUUCAGAAAAUUUGCAGCCUGUUUCCCCAUUUCCAGUCUGUGCUUAAUUAGGCUAACCAGCUUCUGUCUGAAGCCUUAUAUUUAACAUGAUAUCAUUUUAUUCAUUAUUAUUUAUUUAUGGGGAUUCAAAUUGAGUUCUGA